ACAGAGAGUAGCUUGCUACUCUGCUGACGAGCGGCGGACGGGUGAGUAAUGCCUAGGAAUCUGCCUAGUAGUGGGGGAUAACUUGCCGAAAGGUAAGCUAAUACCGCAUACGUCCUACGGGAGAAAGSAGGGGACUCUUCGGAGCCUUGCGCUAUUAGAUGAGCCUAGGUCGGAUUAGUUAGUUGGUGAGGUAAUGGCUCACCAAGACCGCGAUCCGUAACUGGUCUGAGAGGAUGAUCAGUCACACUGGAACUGAGACACGGUCCAGACUCCUACGGGAGGCAGCAGUGGGGAAUAUUGGACAAUGGGGGAAACCCUGAUCCAGCCAUGCCGCGUGUGUGAAGAAGGUCUUAGGAUUGUAAAGCACUUUAAGUUGGGAGGAAGGGCAGUUAACUAAUAUUUGACUGUUUUGACGUUACCGACAGAAUAAGCACCGGCUAACUUCGUGCCAGCAGCCGCGGUAAUACGAAGGGUGCAAGCGUUAAUCGGAAUUACUGGGCGUAAAGCGCGCGUAGGUGGUUCGUUAAGUUAGGAGUGAAAGCCCCGGGCUCAACCUGGGAAUUGCUUCUAAAACUGGCGGGCUAGAGUAUGGUAGAGGGUGGUGGAAUUUCCUGUGUAGCGGUGAAAUGCGUAGAUAUAGGAAGGAACAUCAGUGGCGAAGGCGACCACCUGGACU
rnacentral:rRNA from 1 species